GGCUGGAUCACCUCCUUUCUAAGGAGUACAAAGAACGACAGUUCAAUUAAAAUUCUUAGUUUUAUCACUGUUUUUUUGGUUCAUAUUUUUUUUAAGAUUUUUAAAGUUUAAACCAAAAGCUGUAAGGCUAACUAAAAGAGAAUACCAAAAUGAUAGUAUAGAGGGAGAAGGGGCACGCAAGACCCUCAAAAAUUUAUAUUAUCGUAAAAAAACAUUUUGGGGGUGUAGCUCAGUUGGGAGAGCACCUGCCUUGCAAGCAGGGGGUCAGGAGUUCGAAUCUCCUCAUCUCCACCAAGGAACCUGACAAUUAAAGAGAAAUAUAUUUCUGGUCAAGCGACCAAGGGCAUAAGGUGAAUGCCUUGGCACUGAGAGCCGAAGAAGGACGUGACAAGCUGCGAAAAGUCUCGGGGAGGAGCAAAUAUCCUUAGAUC
rnacentral:misc_RNA from 1 species